UGCAGUUAUGCACUCAAGGCCUUCACGGAUCUCCGGAUUUCUUCGGACGUUGAUUGACAAAUCCAGAGAUCCGUGAAGGCCUCGAGUGUAUAACUGCA